rnacentral:rRNA from 1 species
GAUGAACGCUAGCUACAGGCUUAACACAUGCAAGUCGAGGGGCAGCAUGAACUUAGCUUGCUAAGUUUGAUGGCGACCGGCGCACGGGUGAGUAACACGUAUCCAACCUUCCGUUUACUCAGGGAUAGCCCUUCGAAAGAAAGAUUAAUACCUGAUAGUAUGGUGAGAUUGCAUGAUAGCACCAUUAAAGAUUUAUUGGUAAACGAUGGGGAUGCGUUCCAUUAGGUAGUAGGCGGGGUAACGGCCCACCUAGCCGACGAUGGAUAGGGGUUCUGAGAGGAAGGUCCCCCACAUUGGAACUGAGACACGGUCCAAACUCCUACGGGAGGCAGCAGUGAGGAAUAUUGGUCAAUGGGCGAGAGCCUGAACCAGCCAAGUAGCGUGAAGGAUGACGGCCCUAUGGGUUGUAAACUGCUUUUAUAAGGGAUAAAGUGAGUCUCGUGAGACUUUUUGCAUGUACCUUAUGAAUAAGGACCGGCUAAUUCGUGCCAGCAGCCG